AGAGUUUGAUCAUGGCUCAGAACUAACGCUGGCGGCGCGUCUUAAACAUGCAAGUCGAACGGAAAGGCCCCUUCGGGGGUACUCGAGUGGCAAACGGGUGAGUAACACGUAGGUAAUCUGCCCCUUGGCGGGGGAUAACUCGGGGAAACUCGGGCUAAUACCGCAUAAGAUUGUCCGGUCUGCGGACUGGACUCUGAAAGUCUUCGGACACCAGGGGAUGAGCCUGCGGCCAAUUAGCUUGAUGGUAGGGUAAUGGCCUACCAUAGCGACGAUUGGUAGCCGGCCUGAGAGGGUGAUCGGCCACACUGGGACUGAGAUACGGCCCAGACUCCUACGGGAGGCAGCAGUUAAGAAUCUUGCGCAAUGGGGUAACCCCUGACGCAGCGACGCCGCGUGCGGGAUGAAGGCCUUCGGGUUGUAAACUGCAGUAGACAGGGAAGAAGAAAGUGACGGUACCUGUCCGAAGCACCGGCUAACUACGUGCCAGCAGCCGCGGUAAUACGUAUGGUGCAAGCGUUGUUCGGAUUUACUGGGCGUAAAGGGCGCGCAGGUGGGAUAUUAAGUCGGGUGUGAAAACUAUGGGCUCAACCCAUAGCCUGCAUCCGAAACUGGUAACCUGGAGUCUCGGAGAGGCAAGUGGAAUUCCCGGUGUAGCGGUGAAAUGCGUAGAUAUCGGGAGGAAUACCAAGGGCGAAGGCAGCUUGCUGGACGGUGACUGACACUGAGGCGCGAAAGUGUGGGGAGCAAACAGGAUUAGAUACCCUGGUAGUCCACACCCUAAACGUUGUCGACCAGGCGUUGGAGGUAUCAACCCCUUCGGUGCCGAACCUAACGGAUUAAGUCGACCGCCUGGGGACUAUGCUCGCAAGAGUGAAACUCAAAUGAAUUGACGG
rnacentral:rRNA from 1 species